rnacentral:rRNA from 1 species
CCUACGGGUGGCAGCAGUGAGGAAUAUUGGUCAAUGGCCGGAAGGCUGAACCAGCCAAGCCGCGUGAAGGACGACGGUGCCAAGCAUUGUAAACUUCUUUUGUCAAGGGACAAAAUCAGGCUAGAGCGCAUGACCGAGGGUACUUGAAGAAAAAGCAUCGGCUAACUCGGUGACAGCAGCCGCGGUAAUACGGAGGAUGCGAGCGUUAUCAGUCUUUAUUGGGUUGUAAGGGUGCGUAGGCGGGCUGUUAAGUCUGCGGUAAAACCGCGGGGCGCAACCCCGGCGAGCCGUUGAAUCUGGCUGUCUUGAGAUGUCGAGAGGUAUGCGGAAUGCGCAGUGUAGCGGUGAAAUGCUUAGAUAUUGCGCAGAACUCCGAUUGCGAAGGCAGCAUACCGGCGGCGAUCUGACGCUGAGGCACGAAAGCGUGGGUAUCGAACAGGAUUAGAUACCCUGGUAGUC